rnacentral:lncRNA from 1 species
GGUGGCGGCGGCGGUGGUGGCGGCGGCGACGUUGGCAGCGGGGAGCGCAGCACCUCGGAGGGGCGAUGAGCUUCUCGCUGCAGCUUCCAGCAUCUCACCAGGACCAGAACUUUAACCCCGGCCUGAGAUUAGGAAAUGCCCCCUCCCUGAAGAAGCAGAGACGCUCCCAGGGGCCCCCCAGUAGGGACGGAAGGGGCAGGGGGUGGAGGGGGGUAGUGCAGAACUCUGGAGAAGAGGCACCUAGGCUGGGUUUAGCACUUUGGGAGGGGCUUCGUCUGGUUCCCCGACCCCACUGCCCGCCCCAACCAGGUGGAAUGGGAGCAGACAGACUAGCCGGCUGGUACAGAGGAGCUGGGCCGGGGGAGGAAGAAGGAACCUGGCAACCCUGGACAAUGUUACUUACCAGGAUAUUAGGCAAACUGAAAAAUAUAUCAAGCCCACUUAUGAAAAGAUCUUGGGAGGAGGAGUAAUGUAUAAAUACAUUCAGAAGGAACCCUACGAUUCAUACCAACCUAAUUUUCUUAUUAGAAUAUGAAGCAAGGAAGGAAGGAUUCUCUACAAAGCAAAGCUACAUUUGCUUCUCCUUUUGUAAAGGCCAAUUUCUGCUGGAAUAAAAUAUCUGUAAAAAUAAUAUCA